UAGGGAAUCUUCCACAAUGGGCGAAAGCCUGAUGGAGCAACGCCGCGUGAGUGAGGAAGGCUUUCGGGUCGUAAAGCUCUGUUGCCAGGGAAGAAUAAGGGUGAGUUAACUGCUCAUUCGAUGACGGUACCUGAGAAGAAAGCCCCGGCUAACUACGUGCCAGCAGCCGCGGUAAUACGUAGGGGGCAAGCGUUGUCCGGAAUUAUUGGGCGUAAAGCGCGCGCAGGCGGUCUUUUAAGUCUGGUGUUUAAGUGCGGGGCUCAACCUCGUGUCGCAUCGGAAACUGGGAGACUUGAGUGCAGUAGAGGAGAGCGGAAUUCCACGUGUAGCGGUGAAAUGCGUAGAGAUGUGGAGGAACACCAGUGGCGAAGGCGGCUCUCUGGCCUGUAACUGACGCUGAGGCGCGAAAGCGUGGGGAGCAAACA
rnacentral:rRNA from 1 species